rnacentral:lncRNA from 1 species
GCUUGUUCUUCGGAAAUAGGGUCUUGGAUGAUCUCGAAGAAGUAUCAGGAGUUCUCGGAAUAGGUUGUAGGAUGAUUUUCUUUUUAUUUUAAUAUCACAUACAUUGGAGUACACGUCAAAUUUCAACAAUGAGUAAAGUUA